rnacentral:misc_RNA from 1 species
UUGAAAACAAAAAUAUUUUAACGCGUGUGUUCUAAAAAAGAAAGCUUUUUAAAGUUUUGAAAAGUUUUGUUUUUUUUUUAAAAAGUUUUUCGUUGUGCUUAUUUUCUGGUAUCUUCUCUAAUGAAAAAUAUUUUAUCAACUGUUUUGUGUGAAAUGAGAAGUGAUUUUAAGGAAACCCAUCAAGAAACCAUUAAUAAAAUGAUACAAUUUGGUACUGUCAAAUAUGGAAUUGUUAAACAAUUAAAAGAUCGUGCUAAAAGCACUGAAAAAGAUUCAGCCAGUGAUCAUGAGGAGAAUGGUACAUGUUCACCUUUGGCUGCCACAACCGCCAAUGAAGAUAGUGAUUGCGAUAGAGCAGAAUUAACUCAUAUGGCCACUAGUAAUGAACAUGUUAAUAAAAUUAACACAGCAACACCCGCCGAUAAACAACAACAACAACAGCAACAGACUACUACAUCAGAAGGCUUAGUAACAGGAGAAGAUCUUAAUCAUAAUAAUAACAUAGUAAUGCCGUUGGAAGAACAACAACAGCAGCAACAACAGCAGCAGCAACAGCAGGAGUUAAAGAUACAAUCUCCCUCAAGAACAGAAGAAUUAAAUACGGUUUUAACACCCUCUAAAACAUAUCCAAAAGAUCAAGAAUUUCCCUCACCUACACCACCGGAUCUUAACGAAAGUCAAGAACCCCUAAGAAAAGCUCAAGAGGCCAGUGAAGAAGCUAACGAAACUGAAUCUUCAACAAUACAAGAAGAAGAAGAAAAAGAAAACAUGUGCUUAACAUCGGGUAAAUUGGAAAAUCCUACCAACAAGGAUGAUAUAAAAAGCAUAGAAGAAGAACAAAAUAAAGUGCUACCAGCACAAGAAAUGGAAGAAGCUAACGCCACAGUCAGUGCAGAGAAAUCGGCAAAUAAAGAUAUGGAAAUGGAUGUGGCAGAAUCUACUACACCCUCAAUGCCUGCCGCUUUAGCGCAACAAUUUGGUGCCGCACCUGUUAAUAUUGAAGCCAUUAAGAAUAUGCAGUUGGCCAUAGCCCAAGUGGCAGCUAAAACUAUUGCUAAUGGUGCUUCUGGUCAAGAUAAUGAGGCUGCCAUGAAACAAUUGGCUUUCCUGCAACAGACACUCUUUAAUCUGCAACAACAGCAGCUAUUUCAAAUUCAACUUAUACAACAGCUGCAGUCGCAAUUGGCCAUGAAUCAACCCAAAACGGGUGAGGAAGCCAAUGAAAUGGAUGAAGAGGAAGAAGAAGAGGGUGAGAAUGGUGAGGAGGAUACGUAUGAGGAAGAAGAGCGUAUAGCUCAAAUGGAAUUGAGACAGAAAGCUGAAGCCCGCAUGGCUGAAGAUAAGGCUAGACAGCAUUUAAUCAAUGCUGGUGUUCCUCUAGAUUCACUUAAAAGAAAACGUGAUAGCGAAAACGCCGAAGACAUGGAUGUUUCAGCCUCACGACGCAUUAGUGUUGACAAAAGCUCCGAAUAUGCUUUGGAUAAACUUAAGGAUAUGGAAAAUAGGCCCUUGCCUUUUGGCUCCAAUUUAGCCUCCUCCAUUAUAACUCAUCACGAUGAUAUGCCAGAACCCAACUCCUUGGACUUGUUGCAGAAGAGAGCUCAAGAAGUAUUGGAUUCAGCUUCUCAGGGUAUUUUAGCCAAUAAUAUGGCUGAUGAAUUUGCAUUCAAAGAGAAAAAUGGGAAGGCCGGCAAUGAACCGUUCUUCAAGCACAGAUGUCGCUAUUGCGGCAAAGUCUUUGGUUCGGAUUCUGCCUUACAGAUUCACAUUAGAUCUCAUACGGGCGAACGUCCCUUCAAGUGCAAUGUUUGCGGCAGCAGAUUCACCACCAAAGGAAAUUUAAAAGUGCAUUUCCAAAGACAUGCUCACAAAUUCCCUCAUGUACCUAUGAAUGCCACCCCCAUACCAGAGCAUUUGGAUAAAUUCCAUCCUCCCCUAUUGGAUCAAAUGUCACCGGAUAGUUCUCCCAGCCAUACACCUGCCGCCAUGCCACAACAAAUGCCCAGUCAAAUGCCAGCCAUGAAUUUCCCAGGAGCUUCUAGCAAUUUUCCUGGAUUGGCUAAUCUCUACAGACCUCCCAUGGACAUAUUGAAGUCAUUGUCAGCUUCAUCGGGUGCCGCUGGAUUCAGCAAUCCUUUCUUCCCUCAGGUUCCUGGUAAUUUGGGAGAAGCAGCUGUACAAGCUCAAGCAGCUGCCCAAGCUGUUUUGAAUAAAAAUCAGGAAAUUCCUACGGAUUUAAGUAAAACCUCGGAGCCCAGUUCUCCUGUCAACACACAGAUAAAGUCAGAGAUCUGUGAGGAAAAGGAGGAAGAGGAACAUGAACAAGAACAAGAAGAAAUGGCCACCAAACCAGACACCACAACUGAGGCACCCAAAACAUCAACUCCCACUCCUUUGGACAUAAAGAUCAAAGAAGAGAAAGAUGAUUGUGAAAUUGUACAAGAUGAUAUGGAAGAAGAUAGAAUACACACUCCCUUACCAGCACCAGCUACAGUCAGUCCCGCCAUCUCUGCACACUCACCUUCUUUAAUCAAUUCCCUACCCCAAGUACCUAAUAGCCCGCCUGUACCCACCUCAAAACCACCCACCAUUCAACAAUUACCGCCGGUAGUACAACCCAUACAACCACCUGCCAUUUUACAUCCACAACCUUCACCGGGUUCUCAACAUCAUUUGGAUCAUUUACCCACACCCGGACAGCUGCCACCUUCUAUGCAUCAUCGUGAUGACUUCUUUGCCGAACGUUUCCCUCUGAACUUUACCAAAACAUUGUCGCCCGAAAGACACUCGCCCAUAAGAUCGCCAGCGCAUAUACCACGUGCUCCCUUCUUUAAUCCCAUGAAACCUCAUGAUAUGGCUUUAUUGCCGCGUCCUCAUAGCAAUGAUAAUUCCUGGGAGAAUUUCAUAGAGAUUUCGAAUUCUUCGGAGACCAUGAAGUUAAAGGAAUUGAUGAAGAAUAAGAAAAUCACCGAUCCCAAUCAAUGUGUGGUGUGUGAUCGUGUUUUAUCGUGCAAAAGUGCUCUACAAAUGCACUAUCGCACCCAUACCGGCGAAAGACCUUUCAAGUGUCGCAUUUGUGGUCGUGCUUUCACCACUAAAGGCAAUUUGAAAACUCACAUGGCUGUGCAUAAAAUAAGACCGCCCAUGCGUAAUUUCCAUCAGUGUCCAGUGUGUCAUAAGAAAUACUCCAACGCUUUAGUGCUGCAACAACACAUACGCUUGCAUACUGGAGAACCCACAGAUUUGACACCCGAACAAAUACAAGCAGCCGAAAUACGUGAUCCUCCACCAUCUAUGAUGCCAGGUGCUUUCAUGAAUCCUUUUGCUGCCGCCGCUUUCCACUUCGGUAUGCCUGGCGGUCCUGGCAUGCAUCCGGGUAUGCACGGUAUGCAUAAUGGCUUAGGUUCGGAAUCUUCUCAGGGUGACUACGAUGAUCAAAUGGAUUGUGGAGAUGAUUACGACGAUGAUAUGUCUUCUGAUCAUAUGUCCAAUAGCAAUGAUUUGGAACCGGGUAGUGAGAGACCAAAGUCAACUGAUGAUUUCAAAGGUUUAUUGUUUGAGCAAAAGCUAAGAAUAGAUCCUACUGGAGUGGUUAAUACAAAUCCUAGACCUCAAUCGGCCACCUCGAAUGCAAAUUCAAUAAGUUCGCCUCCCACCAGCCCAACAACUGCAUCAAAACCUUUGAGUUCUACACGCGCUACUUCACCAGCCAGAUCAGCUUCGGAAAUGUCACAAGGAGCUUUAGAUUUGACACCACGUGCUGGACCCUCUUCGGCCAAUAGCAGCAUUAGCGCUCGUUCGCCGCUACCUAGCAAUGCUGGCAAACGUUCACCUUCUCCCGUUAGCAAAUCUCCAAAACUACCACAAAUCAGCCCCUCAGCCGUUAUGCCACCAACUUCUGCAGUCGAUUGUCUACCACCCGGUCUACAUCACCACUUGCAGCAGCAACAUCAACAACUAAUGCAACAGCAAGCAGCCUUGGCUGCCGCUCAACAUCACCAGCAAAUGCAACACAAUGCCGUCGUAGCCAUGCAUCAAGAACAACUAAGACGUGAAGCAGUUGCACAUGCGCAACUCUCACCGAAUGCCCCACCAUCGAUGUCACAGCAGCCAACAACUGGACAAGGUUCCGCCACCAGCUCACCGCAAAUACCACAUCCACAAGCGGGAAAUCCAUUGGUAGCAGCUGCCAGACCACCAUUUGGCAUGUUUCCAAAUCUCCCGCUGUUUCCACCGGCUUCCACGCAAAACAUGUGCACCGCAAUGAAUUCAAUAGCACAGUCUGUUAUGCCGGCGGCACCAUUUAAUCCUUUAGCUCUAUCGGGUGAGUUGAGUCAGAGGCAGCACUACUUGCGGCAUUUGUUUCAAAACAUUCCCCUGCCAUUCGGCUUUGGAGAUUCAUUAUAGAAGUCAUACUAAAGAGAGACCAUUUAAAUGUAAUAUAUGUGAUCGUGGCUUUACAACAAAGGGUAACUUAAAACAACAUAUGCUUACCCAUAAAAUUCGUGAUAUGGAACAGGAAACUUUCCGAAAUAGAGCUGUCAAGUAU